CCGGGUGACAUUGAGGUUUUCGCCUUUCGUCGCUGCGCCGAUAGGGCUUCUUUUUAAGAUGUGGCUUUCCAAGUAAGAUUUUUGUUUGCCUGCUUUUCUCCUGAAAAAAAAUUUUUUUUUGGUCGAAAGAAGCAGAGCCACUCUUAUCGCCCAGGCUGGAGUGCAGUGGCUGAAUCACAUUUCACUGAAGCUUCAACUUCCCAGGCUCAGAUAUGGGGUUUUGACAUGUAUUUCAAGCUGAUCUGGAAUUCCUGGACUCAAGGGAUCCACCUACCUCGGCCCCCCAAAAUGCUGGAAUUACAGCAGGAGCCACCUUGCCCACCAUGAGAACACUUCUUACCUGCCAAUCAGAAGCACAGCUUUGCUUUCAUACAUUUAAAUGUUCCUGGAUCUUGUUUCUCUCAUCUGCCUUGUUUCUCUCAUCUGAAAAAGUGAGGGUCGGAAUUGUUUUUAUCUGGAGUCUCUAAAGAGAAGGAAAAAAAAAUGUUUAAAGUAUAUUCCAGGAGGAACGAUUCAAGAUGGCUGAUCGCUAACAUCUUGGGAUUGCAGCUCCCAGUCAAAGCGCAGAGAAUGAGAGGACGCCACACUUUCAGACAAAUUUUGGUCUCACGGAGCAGAAGAUUCUAAGUGGAGGAGCCGCAGGGGUCGCCUGUGCGACUCUUGUGGCCGGUGCAGCGGUUUUGCCGGCACCUCGGCACGGCAGCUCUUGGUGCAGAGUAAACAGGACUGGUUCCCCUUCUGACCGAGGUUUGGAGGAGCCGCACGGGUCGUCAGCACGGCUCUUGUGGCCGGCGCAGCGGUUUUGCCAGCACCUCGGCACAGCAGCUCUUGGUGCAGAGUAAAUGGGAUUGGUUCCCCUUCUGACCAAGGUCUGGAGCUCCGGGAAGGCAGAGUCGUCUAUUACGGACUCAAGAAGGAAGCCAGAUUGGAGAUUCCCGGACAGAAAAGCACCAUCAGUCUUAAUGCUGCUGUUUUGGCCAGUGCAGUGAGUUGCUCAUAUUUCGGCCCUGGAAAUUAACAACUUGGACGUCCACCCAGAGACCUAAUCUGAAAGUUGGUCAUUACAAAGACGACAGGUGGAUAAAUUUACAAUGAUGGGAAAAAAUCAGCUUAAAAAGGCUGAGAAUACUUGAAACCAGAAUGUCUCUCCCUCUAAAGAGGAUCACAGUUCCUCAUCAACAAGGGAACAAGGCUUGAUGGAGAACGAGCACAUCUCAUGAACAGAAUCAGGCUUCAGAACGUGGAUAAUAAGAAACUUCUGUGAGUUAGAAGAACAUGUUGUAGCCCAAUGUAAAGAAACUAAGAACUUCGAAAAAAGGUUUGACAAAACCCUAAUGAGAAUAGACAACUUAGAGAGGAAUAUAAGUGAAUUAAUGGAACUGAAGAAUACAAUACAGGAACUCUGAGAAGUAUGCACAGGUUUAAACACUCGAAUUGUUCAAGCAGAAGAAAGGAUAUCAGAGGUCGAAGUCCAACUUAAUGAAAUAAAACAAGAAGAUAAGAUUAGAGAAAAAAGGAUAAAAAGGAAUGAGGAAAGUCUCCAAGAAAUGUGGGACUAUGUGAAAAGACCAAAUUUACGUUUGAUAGGUGUACCUGAAUGCGACGGAGAGAAUGAAUCCAAGCUGCAAAAUAUUCUUCAGGAUAUUAUCCAGGAAAAUUUCCUUAAACUAGCAAAGCAGGACAAUAUUCAACCCCAGGUAAUACAGAGAACACCACAAAGAUAUUCCUCAAGAAGAGCAACCCCAAGGCACAUAAUCGUGAGAUUCACCAGGGUUGAAACAAAGGAGAAAAUACUAAGGGCAGCCAGAGAGAAAGGUCAGGUUACCCACAAAGGCAAGCCUAUCAGACUUACAGCAGAUCUCUCAGCAGAAACUCUACAAGCCAGAAGAGAGUGGGGGCCAAUAAUCAACAUCCUUAAAGAACAGAACUUUCAGCCCAGAAUUUCAUAUCCAGCCAAACUAAGCUUCACAACUGAAGGAAAAAUAAAAUCUUUUAUGAACAAUCUCUAAAACUCAGAGAUUUUAUUACCACCAGGCCUGCUUAACAAGAGCUUCUGAAAGAAGCGUUACACAUAGAAAGAAACAACCAGUAUUAGCCUUUCUAAAAAUAUACCCAAAAGUAAAGAGCAUCAACAUAAAGAAGAAUUUACAUCAACAAAUGGAGAAAACAGCCAGUUAACAUCAAAUGGCAGUAAUCCUAAAUUUAAAUCUACUAAAUCUCCCAAUCAAAAGAUACAGCCAAAACCCAACGGUAUGCUACAUCCAGACCCAUUUCACAUGCAAGGAUACACAAAGACUCAAAACAAAGGGAUGGAGAAAGAUUUACCAACCAAAUGGAGAGCAAAAAUAAAUAAAUAAACAAAAAGCAGGCAUUGCAAUUCUCGUAUCUGAUAAAUUAGCUAUUAAAGCAACGAAGAUACAGUGGUAAAAGGAUCAAUGCAACAACAAGAGCUAAUGAUCCUAACACGCAGGUACAUAGAGACUUAGACUCAAUGAGACAGAAAAUUAAUAAGGAUAUCAAGGACUCGAACUUAGAUCCGGAACAAGUAAACUUAAUAAAUAUUUACAGAGCUCUCCACUUUAAAUACACAAAAUAUACAUUCUUGUCAAUACCACAUCACACCUACUCAUACGUUUAAAUGAAAUAUUGAUUGGCCAUUAUUAAUACCCGUUUUUUUUAGAAUAAAGCAAUAUUUUAAUUCUCUCCCUCUUUUUCUUCCUCUCCUUCACUCCUUUUUUUUCUUUCCUUCUCUCAAAAAAAGAAGAAAAGAAAUCAACUUGUAGACUUCUAGAUCCAGGUCAACAAUGUCUCUCUCAUUGCCUGAUUUCCUUCCUUCCCUUCUCUCCCUCCCACCCUCCCUCCCUCCCUCCCUUCCUCCUUUCCUCCCUUCCUGCCUUCCUCCCUUCCUCCCUUCAAAUAAAAAAGUAUAUUCCAAAAAGUAACAUUCAAAAUUGAUUUUUGAAUAUUAAAAUCAAUUUGAUUUGAAAAGUAACAUAUCAAAAUACUUUUGGCUGGGAAAAAAUAAAUACAAAAUGAAUAGAAA